AUUGAACGCUGGCGGCAGGCCUAACACAUGCAAGUCGAACGGUAACAGGAAGCAGCUUGCUGCUUUGCUGACGAGUGGCGGACGGGUGAGUAAUGUCUGGGAAACUGCCCGAUGGAGGGGGAUAACUACUGGAAACGGUAGCUAAUACCGCAUAACGUCGCAAGACCAAAGAGGGGGACCUUAGGGCCUCUUGCCAUCGGAUGUGCCCAGAUGGGAUUAGCUAGUAGGUGGGGUAACGGCUCACCUAGGCGACGAUCCCUAGCUGGUCUGAGAGGAUGACCAGCCACACUGGAACUGAGACACGGUCCAGACUCCUACGGGAGGCAGCAGUGGGGAAUAUUGCACAAUGGGCGCAAGCCUGAUGCAGCCAUGCCGCGUGUAUGAAGAAGGCCUUCGGGUUGUAAAGUACUUUCAGCGGGGAGGAAGGGAGUAAAGUUAAUACCUUUGCUCAUUGACGUUACCCGCAGAAGAAGCAUCGGCUAACUCCGUG
rnacentral:rRNA from 1 species